UACGGAGGGUGCAAGCGUUAUCCGGAUUUACUGGGCUUAAAUGGUGCGUAGGCGGGCAGGUAAGUCAGUGGUGAAAUCUCCAAGCUUAACUUGGAAACUGCCGUUGAUACUAUCUGUCUUGAAUAUUGUGGAGGUGAGCGGAAUAUGUCAUGUAGCGGUGAAAUGCUUAGAUAUGACAUAGAACACCAAUUGCGAAGGCAGCUCACUACUCAAUCAUUGACUCUGAGGCACGAAAGCGUGGGGAUCAAACAGG
rnacentral:rRNA from 1 species